rnacentral:lncRNA from 1 species
CCAUUCGAUUGCACUUGAAGAGUAAACGCUUCUGGGCCAUUCCUAUGCAUGAGAUGUGAUCUGCACCGUUGGAUUCGUUGACACGCGGAUCGCCCACAUGGCCUCCCGCAUGGAAUCGAUGUCAGCGUGUCUGCCACGCAGCGUGUUCUGACUCGUCGUUGCUGCUGACAUGACCAUCCAACAUAGUCGUAUUUUCUCU